ACUGCUGCCACGUGCUGAGGGGAACUCGGUUGGAGCAAAACCGUCCCGUGCAUUACUGUCCCUCAAUUUGGAGUUCGAGGAGCAACUGGAGCUUGAGAAAGGCAGACUGAGGAACUGACUGCAAUUCUGGAGUAAGAACAAGGACCCACUCGGUUCCUCUGUGAACCUCCUUUUGUCCUGUUGGACGAACACCGUUACCUCUGCAGAGGUUGGCAUCUGGACAGAGCCUCUCCUCCACCAGAGGUCCUGGACAUUGGCUCUCCUCUUCCUCUUUAGAGACCGGGAGACCCGAAUCCAGGUCCAAACAGGCCCGGAAACGCCUCUGGGUUGAGACCAUCCUACUGCUACUGAUGACUACUGCUUGGGAGUUGCUGUGUUGCAGGGAGGACGAGGGUACACAGGGAGAACAGGGAGUCCACUCUGACCACUCGCUGAGGAUGACUGAAAGAAGGAAAGGAAAGGCAGGAUGAUGGCAUCAUUCAACCAGCAGCUCCAUGCAUUACUGUCAUUGAGCUGCUGCUUUCUUACCUUCACACUCUCUCAUGUCACACUGCAGAGUUCCAUCAUGGCAAAGGCUGCAGGACAGAACAGCCAACAAACAGAUUAGAAUCACAAUAUGUCAAACUGAGUCAUAGAUCCCAGACAAACAAUCGUUCUGUCUUAUAAAGGUGGAAACUACUUUGGUGUCACAGGAGGACUGACACCGUAGCUCCAUAUGUGUGUAACAGCCAGGGUCUAACCAGGUACUGCAGCCUAUGGUGACCGUGGCCCCCUGAGGGACAGUCACAGGUGUGGGUGGUUGGCCUGAAGCUUGCUGCUCCAGGUGGACGCAGCCACACUGCUCUGCAGGAACACAGCUACCAUUCUGCUGCAGCAGGCCCUGGAAGGGAAAACAAGAGCUGAUGCAGUAAUAGUUUUAUAUAUAUAUGCUAAAGACUCAGAUAUUUUCCUCAGGAGUUGGUGGAGUCCAUCAGAGAGGAAUAUGUGCAAUAAAUCAAAGCUGGAUGCUCCCAAACAACAUCAGAAAAUUGUCAUCAUCAUAACUCAUAUCAAGGAGUGCACUGUUGCCCCCUGGUGGCUGGGGAGAGAGCUACGCGGUAGCGCAGCUGCCUCUGAGACGCGCAGGAGCACUGAGACCAGACGCUCCACUCUGACAUGGGGCAGCCUGCAGAGGGAAACAAAAUCAACCAAUCUGCUGCUACGUGCACGCAGGUUCUAACAAGCACUUCAUGCUAUUUCUGAUGCACUUAGAAUCUGUGAAGCAGCACUUGGACUUGUGCUCACGUGACCCAGAGUUGAGUGUCCUGCUAAGUUAAUCAGCGUGUAACAGAUCUAUUUAUACACCAAACAUUAGGCCCUCCUCUUUACAAUCAGCAUAAAGCCGUCUCACUGGCAUCACUACUUAAGUACAGCUACAAUCUAAUUAGCAACCACUAUGAUCUGGUUCAAUAAUAUCAAAUCAUUUAGUGCAUUGAUCAAUUGCUCAAUUUAUCUGAGGCCAGAGCUGGAAAAUAUAUCUAUUUAUUGAUUUAUAGAAUAGCAAACUAAAAUAAAUGUACCCAUCACACUCUUCAAUACAGAUAUGAUAUCUAGCUCUGAUAAAUGGACUCAGAACAGUUACAACAUCCUUUUACAUCUUACCACAAUAUCAACUAAGCUUUCACUGAAUAAUCAGGAACAUUUUUACAUUAUUUAUAUUGUUAUAAAGGUAAAUAGAACGUAUUGAGAUAAUAGAUUUUAGUCAAUAUUGUCCCGCCUUAAAAAAUAAAUACAUGAUCUUGACUUGCAUAUCAACAUGUAAAUACAAUAAUAAUUCAUGAGAGUUGGCUGCCUUUUAAUGAAUGUCUCAUCGUACUGCCUUAACAGAAAAAGGCGCACAUACACAGUAAAUGUGUGCUCCCACAUACUGUAUAAGUAGAAUUAUGACCUCAGAUGUGCACCACUUCAUACAGGCAGGACAUGACAUCAGUUCUACGAGACAUUUAGACACUAGGACAGUUGCCACUUCCUCUAGAGGACUUUAUGAAAGCAAACUUAUCGGAUAUACUGACCUUAAAUACUGUAUCUCCUCGUGGACAAUGUGGUACGUUGAGUAACUCCUGUUUGUUCAUGUCUUGUAUUUCAUCGUUAACUUGUUUAUAGAACAGAGAUGGGUCCUCUCUUUGAACAGCUUCAUCACUACUUCAAAUGAUCUUAAAAUAGUUCACAUCAUCCGACUGACAGGACCUCAGAAUACAAUCACAGAAGUGAGCGUGGCGGCGUGUGCGGAGCUACGUCUGUACCUGCACAGGGCUGCUCGUAACACAGCUGGGUCUCCUCUCUGUUCCUCCCGGCCUCGAUCUCAGCGGGACACGCCGCGUCUCCUCCCUCCCCGCACACACACACCCUGCGCCGCGACACCGAACCAGCGCCGCAGCUCCGGGAACAUGGAGACCAUGCCAACCAGGGGCAAAGGUCAUCUGUAGACGAGAGAGUCAACAUGAUCGAUGACGUCAUCAUCAUUUACGUGGCUGUGAAUGUGUGAAUCGAUUUGGCGUUUCUGAACGAACCCAGACAGGGAGGAGUGAGACAGUCCUGGGUCUCUCUGUCCGGCCCGCUGCAGUGAGACCCGUUGUUACGUGGAGGGGGGUUGAUGCAGGCACGGGUUCCAACCUGUGUACCCCGUCCACAGGUCACUGAGCAGUCGGACCACACUGACCAAGGGGUCCAACCACCAUCCACUGGACACAACACACAGGCUUUGGUCAUUGGACAUGUAUCUUUAAAGGAAACUUGGCGGCAUGACAGUCAACUUGUUUGGUCCCCUGUCACAGGUCAGAGGUAAAUGUGUAUAUUCUCUUUCAUUAGAAGUAAGCUAGUAAUGUCAGCUGAGUAUAUAUCGUCUGCUCAAGCACAUUUACUCUUAGUCUUUGCAGUGACCCACCUCUGCAGUCAAUGUCUUGGCAGUAAUCUCCCUCCGGGGUGCAUGUGCUGGGAGUCAAAAAACACAAAGCAGAACUCUUAGAAUUCUAUUUUCUUUAUUUACGCUGCAAAACCAUGUCAUCAGCCAAAUGUGUGCAUCCAUCUUACCAUUGUUUACACUCGCCCUGCAGCCAGGUGUCACCCACCUCCAGCUCCUGGUCAUCAUGCAGACAGAGAGGUGGGCAGGGUCCCGGGUCGCAGGUUUUAUGCUGGACUUCCUCAAACUGGCAAUCUGCUCCUUCGGUGUCCGGGACCAGAGACCUGACACACAGCAGUGUGCUUCUGCUUUACUCUACUGCUUACUUGUUAUUUCAAAGAAACACAUUUCCCUGAGAGGGUGGGGAUUUCAAUCACUAAACAGGCAUUUGGGAUUUUCUUUCCCCUCACCUGUAUCUGGUUCUCUGGCCCUGCCCACAGGAGACGCUGCACAGCGCCCAGCUGGACCAGGAGCUCCAAAUGCAGGUGGUCUGGCAGAUGUGGUUGGUGCACAGGAGCUGUCCGUCUGAGCAGCUGCAGUUGUUACAGUCCGCCUGAUGCGAACUGCCGGCCGCCCAAAUGUGUCCCAUUCUUCCCUCCGUUCUUAGGCGGAGGGCUGGAGCAGGAGCGAGUGCGUAUGGAGCGCCCGCCGCCACAGCGCUUAUCACAGCGAGACCAGGGACUCCAGCGAGACCAACCUCCAUCCACUACAUCGUCCACACACACACACACACACACACACACACACACACGGACACAAGCACAAAGAACACCAGUGUGUUUUCACGUUUCACACUACAUGAUCAUUCCACUUUAUCACAACUUGGCUGUUAUUUUAACAUUCGCCAUCAUUUCUAUUGGUUUGAUAACAAUGUACAGUGAGUGGUCACUAUGGGCCCAUAGUGGUAUCUCAAUCUGCUCUUUCCUAUUCAUUCCAUGUGAAUACAAACAUCAUGUCUGCUUAAACUAAAAAGUUGUUAUUUUGUGGCAAAGCAGUCUCAGGUGCAGACGGAUUCUACAAUAAAGUAAAUCAUGUAAUCAAGUAAAUUAUCACGGACAUGAAACGGUGAAGCGUGACAAUCCCUAAACUGUUUAUGCUCACGACAGGACGCACAGGCGUGAAUGUGAAUUAUCUGAACUACAUGAUCAACAGCAGGCUGACCUCGGCAGGGCUUGAUGUUACAGAAGCGAUUCUCCAGGUUUCCUCCCAGAAUGUCCUCGCACCAUGAGCCGUUGGUCCGGGGGCUGAGGAAGGUGCGGAUCCUCUGCUGCUGACCCACUCCGCAGGACCGCGAGCAGGAGCUCCACUCCCCCCACUCCUUCCACAAGCAGUUCCUCCUCGCGCAGUCUGCCCCGACACAAUCCUCGUCUCCAUCUACAGAAGACACAAGACUGCUCGAUGUAGUCGUUGAAUAUCCCGAUAGCUAAUUCAUUGUGCUGUAAAUGCUGGUGUUUGAUCUUGUUUUUCUAUUCACCUGUAAUUGCAGUAAAUAUUCACACUAAUUUCACAAUAUUUAUUCAUUAAAGUGAAAACGUUACACGGAGCUCCUUCUAAACGUAGUCACAUGAUGAGCUGUUUAUUGAGUUGAGGCAUACGUUCUGAAUAAUGGCUUAACCAUGAGGAUUUUAUUCAUAACCGAUAUCAUCUCCUAACAGUCAGACAGGGUAUAAUACUGUUUUGGUUGAUGGUAUUCCCAU